rnacentral:rRNA from 1 species
GACGAACGCUGGCGGCGUGCUUAACACAUGCAAGUCGAACGGAAAGGCCUGCUUUCCCUUGUGGUUUGCGGGUACUCGAGUGGCGAACGGGUGAGUAACACGGGAGUGAUCUGCCCCCAACUUGGGUAUAAGCCUGGGAAACUGGGUCUAAUUCCCGAUAGGACUGCAGGGUGGUGCCGGUGGUGGAAAACGAUUUUCUAGUGGUUGGGGAUGAGCUCGCGGCGUAUCAGCUUGUUGGUGGGGUAAUGGCCUACCAAGGCGGCGACGGGUAGCCGGCCUGAGAGGGUGGACGGCCACAUUGGGACUGAGACACGGCCCAGACUCCUACGGGAGGCAGCAGUUGGGAAUAAUGGACCAUGGGCGGAAUCCUGAUGCAGCGACGCCGCGUGGGGGAUGACGGCCUUCGGGUUGUAAACUCCUUUCGACCGCGAGGAAGCCACCUGGUUGGAAGGGUGGUGACGGUAGUGGUAAAAGAAGCACCGGCUAACUACGUG